AUUUUCGAGGGUGUCUAAGACGGAAAAUCGAGAGGGUUAACCAGAAAAAACGUGCGGGGUGUUUCACUGGGUUUUUCUUCGGUGAGUGGCCGGAGGAAGAAUCGACUGAAGCUAUCGGUGUUGAAUACCGUUGCGAGUCUGUCGGAAUAGGUGAAGGGUGUCGUCGCAUCGUCGGAAUCGGGGUUGUGACGUCGUCGUCGGCGGCGCAGCAAUGAUUAAGGUUUUCGCGAGAUUUCGGGUAAGGAAGACGAAGGAAAUGGGUCGGGUUUCACUUUUGGUCUCUGAACCAACCCACGGAACGAACGCGGGCCUGGUGCGUUUUGGCCCAACACGGACGCGCGCUGCGGCCUUGGUCUCGGCUCCACACGCGUGCUCUCGGCUCGGCUUGUCGUGUACGGCGGCUCGGCUCCGUCAAAACCCACGGCUCGACAGCUCGGCUUGGUGACUCAGUAUCUCUAUAAUAUAUCGAUUCCAAGGUUUUCGACCCUUCCGAAGCCGUUUCUGUCCUUAGUUUUACCAUCCGAGGACGUAUUUAACCGCUGGAAUUAGCUCGUUGUGAGUGACUUCAACCAAGACCAUCGAGGUAAAAGCAAAGUGUCAAUGUACGGUUGACGGCGAAGAUGAGGACACCAUGGAAGUUGGAGAUGAGAUAUUUUUAGAAGUUUACAUUUAUUGGACUGUUUUAAGUUAUAGCAUUGAGUAUUGCUCUAUUUAGGGCAUGACUCUGAUACCAUGUUAAAAGAAUAUGA